AAAAGUAUGAAGAUAUUUAGUAAGCGUGGGUUCCACCACACUAUACUGCUAUACCAAACCUGAAAAUGAACGAAUAUUAUAACAGCAUAGUAAGCGUGGGUCACUCCACACUAUACUGUACGAUAAGACAAUUAAAGCCGCCAGUAAAAACUACGGUGAAAAGGAUUUUUACUCACACCUAUUAAGACUAGAAGAUAAACAUUGAAUCGUGUGUGAGUGGAAUUUUGUGUACAAAAUAAAAGAAAAACUGUAUAUAUUGUGUACAUACAACUGUUUAUUUCUUGAUGGUGGAGGUUGAUUAUUACUACUACUCCUUUGGAGGUUGUCCUGAAGGACGGAAGAAGAUUCAGCGG
rnacentral:lncRNA from 1 species